UACGGAGGGUGCAAGCGUUGUCCGGAUUUAUUGGGUUUAAAGGGUGCGUAGGUGGCUCAUUAAGUCAGUGUUUAAAGUCAACAGCUCAACUGUUGGAACGGCAUUGAUACUGAUGAGCUUGAGUAAAGUUGAGGUAGACAGAAUUGAUGGUGUAGCGGUGAAAUGCAUAGAUAUCAUCAAGAAUACCGAUUGCGAAGGCAGUUUACUAAGCUUUAACUGACACUGAGGCACGAAAGUGUGGGGAUCAAACAGG
rnacentral:rRNA from 1 species